rfam:Danio rerio chromosome 4, GRCz11 reference primary assembly.
GGUUCCAUGGUGUAAUGGUUAGCACUCUGGACUCUGAAUCCAGCGAUUUGAGUUCAAAUCUUGGUGGGACCU